GACGAACGCUGGCGGCGUGCUUAACACAUGCAAGUCGAACGGAAAGGCCCUGCUUGCAGGGUACUCGAGUGGCGAACGGGUGAGUAACACGUGGGUGAUCUGCCCUCCACUUCGGGAUAAGCCUGGGAAACUGGGUCUAAUACCGGAUAGGAGCCAUUUUUAGUGUGAUGGUUGGAAAGUUUUUUCGGUGUAGGAUGAGCUCGCGGGCUAUCAGCUUGUUGGUGGGGUAAUGGCCUACCAAGGCGGCGACGGGUAGCCGGCCUGAGAGGGUGGACGGCCACAUUGGGACUGAGAUACGGCCCAGACUCCUACGGGAGGCAGCAGUGGGGAAGAUUGCACAAUGGGCGCAAGCCUGGUGCAGCGACGCCGCGUGGGGGAUGACGGCCUUAGGGUUGUAAACUCCUUUCGCUAGGGACGAAGCUUUUUGUGACGGUACCUAGAUAAGAAGCACCGGCUAACUACGUG
rnacentral:rRNA from 1 species